rnacentral:rRNA from 1 species
UACGGGGGGGGCAAGCGUUGUUCGGAAUUACUGGGCGUAAAGGGCUCGUAGGUGGCCAACUAAGUCAGACGUGAAAUCCCUCAGCUUAACUGGGGAACUGCGUCUGAUACUGGAUGGCUUGAGUUUGGGAGAGGGACGCGGAAUUCCAGGUGUAGCGGUGAAAUGCGUAGAUAUCUGGAGGAACGCCGGUGGCGAAGGCGGCGUCCUGGACCAGCACUGACACUGAUGAGCGAAAGCCAGGGGAGCAAACGGG